rnacentral:rRNA from 1 species
GACGAACGCUGGCGGCGUGCUUAACACAUGCAAGUCGAACGAAGAGCGAUGGAAGCUUGCUUCUAUCAAUCUUAGUGGCGAACGGGUGAGUAACGCGUAAUCAACCUGCCCUUCAGAGGGGGACAACAGUUGGAAACGACUGCUAAUACCGCAUACGAUCUAAUCUCGGCAUCGAGGAUAGAUGAAAGGUGGCCUCUACAUGUAAGCCAUCACUGAAGGAGGGGAUUGCGUCUGAUUAGCUAGUUGGAGGGGUAACGGCGCACCAAGGCGAUGAUCAGUAGCCGGUCGGAGAGGAUGAACGGCCACAUUGGGACUGAGACACGGCCCAGACGCCUACGGGAGGCAGCAGUGGGGAAUCUUCCGCAAUGGACGAAAGUCUGACGGAGCAACGCCGCGUGAGCGAUGACGGCCUUCGGGUUGUAAAGCUCUGUUAAUCGGGACGAAAGGCCUUCUUGCGAAUAGUGAGAAGGAUUGACGGUACCGGAAUAGAAAGCCACGGCUAACUACGUG